GCAUGAGUGGCUCAGUCGGUUGAGCGUCUGACUUCGGCUCAGGUCAUGAUCUCACGGUUUGUGGGUUCGAGCCCCGCAUCAGGCU
rnacentral:tRNA from 1 species